rnacentral:rRNA from 1 species
CCAUAUGCUUGUCUCAAAGAUUAAGCCAUGCAGGUCUCAGUACGGCCUCUAGCGAAAAGGCGAAACCGCGAAUGGCUCAUUAAAUCAGUUAUGGUUCCUUAGAGACGUAUCCGUAUUUCUGGAUAACCGUGGUAAUUCUAGAGCUAAUACAUGCAAACGAAGCUCCAGCCCCGUGCGGCGGAAAACCCCUUAACCGGGGCGUGACGCUGCGGGGACGAGCGCUUUUAUUAGACCGCAACGACCGCAUCCUUCCUCCGUCUCUUCGCUUAACCGCGGGAGCGGGGGACGUGUUGCGUGGUGACUCUGGAUAACCUGGCAGAUCGGCCGGUGGCCUCCCUAGCGGGGUCGUGUCAAGCCGGCCGACGCAACUUUCAAGUGUCUGACUUAUCAACUUUCGACGGCGAGUUAAACGCCAGCCGUGGUGACGACGGGUGACGGGGAAUCAGGGUUCGAUUCCGGAGAGGAAGCCUGAGAAACGGCUACCACAUCCAAGGAAGGCAGCAGGCUCGCAAAUUACCCACUCCCGGCACGGGGAGGUAGUGACGAAAAAUAACGAUGCGGGACUCGGUCGAGACCCCGCCAUCGGAAUGAGUGGACUGUAAAAAGUUCGCACGAGGAACGACCGGAGGGCAAGUCUGGUGCCAGCCGCUGCGGUAAUUCCAGCUCCGGUAGCAUAUGCUAAAGUUGCUGCGGUUAAAAAGCUCGUAGUUGGAUCUCAGUCUCGGCCGUCCGGUCCCGCCCGCGUCGGCGGGACUCGUUGGCGCUUGCCGGUCAUAACUGUCGGCCGCCCGGGAUGAUCUUGACCGGUUGUCUCGGAACGGUCCGGCGAGUUUACCUUGAAAAAAUCAGAGUGCUCAGAGCGCGGCGUUAAAAGAAGCCGCCCGUACGUCGUUGCAUGGAAUAAUGGAAGAAGACCUCGGUUCGAAUGAAUGGAAAAAAACUCAGCGGCUCGAACCCCUGAGGUAAUGGUCAACGGGAGCGGCCGGGGGCGAUCGUAUCGCGACGCUAGAGGUGAAAUUCUUGGACCGUCGCGAGACGAACUACAGCGAAAGCAUUCGUCAAGAGCGCUUCCGUUAAUCAAGAACGAAAGUCAGAGGUUCGAAGGCGAUCAGAUACCGCCCUAGUUUUGACCGUAAACGAUGCCGACCAGCGAUCGGGCUGCGCUCGCCACGACGAGGCGCCCGGAAGCUUACCGGGAAACCAGAGUUUCUGGGUUCCGGGGGAAGUAUGGUUGCAAAGCUGAAACUUAAAGGAAUUGACGGAAGGGCACCACCAGGAGUGGAGCCUGCGGCUUAAUUUGACUCAACACGGGAAAACUCACCCGGCCCGGACACGGGAAGGAUUGACAGACUGAACGAACUUUCUUGAUUCUGUGGGUGGUGGUGCAUGGCCGUUCUUAGUUGGUGGAGCGAUUUGUCUGGUUGAUUCCGAUAACGAACGAGACCCUGGCCUAUUAAAUAGUCUCCGUCUUAUGCUCCCCCGGGUCGUCCCGUCGUUCCGAAGUCUCGCGCGCGCCGUUUACGCGGCGUCGCGGGGUCCGAGGGCGCGGGGCGAUCGGCGGCGGGGGGCGAGCGGGGUGAUAAAAGAAUUCUUCUUAGAGGGACCAGCGACGCAUUAAAGUCGCGCGAAGUGGGGCGAUAACAGGUCAGUGAUGCCCUUAGAUGUCCGGGGCCGCACGCGCGCUACAAUGACGCCCCCAGCGAGCGCGCCGGCCCGGUCCGAAGGGAUCGGGGAACCCUUUGAACGGACGUCGUGAUGGGGACAGGGGAUUGUAAUUGUUCCCCUCGAACGAGGAAUUCCAAGUAAGUGCGAGUCACCAGCUCGCAUUGAUUACGUCCCUGCCCUUUGUACACACCGCCCGUCGCUACUACCGAUCGAACGUUGAGGUGAGGUCGUCGGACUGGAGCCUUCCGAGAAGGACACUGCGGGGAUUUCAAAGUUUCCGCAUUCCCGAUCGGGGCUUCGGAAAGUCGGUCGAACCCUAUCGUUUAGAGGGAGUAAAAGUCGUAACAAGGUUUCC